rnacentral:rRNA from 1 species
UUCCUACGGGAGGCAGCAGUGAGGAAUAUUGGUCAAUGGGCGCAAGCCUGAACCAGCCAAGUCGCGUGAGGGAAGACGGCCCUACGGGUUGUAAACCUCUUUUGCCGGGGAGCAAGCCUGAGCACGUGUGCCCAGGCGGAGAGUACCCGGAGAAAAAGCAUCGGCUAACUCCGUGCCAGCAGCCGCGGUAAUACGGAGGGUGCGAGCGUUAUCCGGAUUUAUUGGGUUUAAAGGGAGCGUAGGCCGCAUGUCAAGCGUGCUGUGAAAUGUCCGGGCUCAACCCGGGCCUUGCAGCGCGAACUGGC